rnacentral:misc_RNA from 1 species
UAAUCUGCAUCUGGAACAUCACGGCUAUCAUCCAGCCCCUCAGCUAAUGGAAGGCCAUCCGUCACACGAGCAAUCAUAGUCAACUUCACCAUCUUCCUUAAACAAGCAAACAACUAUCAUUCACGUCGGUGCAGCCUUUGUUGGUUGAUCUGUUGAACUCCCGAUCGCCGGUUUCCGAUUUUGUAUCAACCUCUCGUGAACUCCGAUCGGUUACAGCGAAAGGAAGGUUGUAAUGAAUGGGAAUUGGG